rnacentral:lncRNA from 1 species
AUGUGUGUUGGGCUGCCAGAGGUAUGUUUAUGAAGGGCAUCAUAAAUUGCUAAAUUUACUUAACAAAUAAUUAAGCUUACUUGUCAAAUGACUCAUAACACAAUUUGAUCAAGUUCCAUGGCUAAAAUUAUGUUAUGACAAAACACUACAAUAAGGGGCUGGUUGGUUCUUAAAUAUGUUAGAUUUUAAAGGAAAAAGACUUCUAUUUUUAUGGUAUCUGUUGACUUCUAAAAUUAUUGUGAUGUCAUCAUUCUCCUUUCCACCUCUGUGAAUUCAUCCAUGCCAUUUCCUCUGCCUGAACUGUCCUCCCAACAAAAUCCUGCUCACCCUUUAAAACAUACCUCUGACAGCUCCUUCUCUGGGCAAGUCGCAUGAGCCUCUCCUCUCAAGUCUCACCAGGAAUUUAAGAGUAAUUCCCAAAUUGCUUCUGGGCCUUGACUUUCUGUCAUCUAUUCAAAUGUCAAAACCUUUUCCUGGAAGAAUGUGCUACACCUGCUGCAGCUCCAGUUAUGCCCUUGAUAAAAUCAGUCAGAAUUAUUUGCUAUACAAGAGUCAUUCAUUGAUUUGUCCAUCCUUUCUAUAAGCAUUUCCUGAACAUCUAUUAUGAGCAAGAUACCACAUUGGAUGCUAGAUAAAAAGAACAGAGAAAUAAAGUCUAUUCUUAAAGGCAGCACAGUCAAGGGAGGUAUGGACAAGUGAAUAAAGUGUGACAGUCACUGUGAUGAGGGCUAUGCUAAAGGAGAAAGGCAAUUAGUAAAUGUAGAAGAAGAAAUGGAAUUUGAAAAUCACUAUUUGGCCACCAUCAUGGUAAUAAUUGCUUGAGUCAAGAAUCAUCAGUGGAUCAUUCUAAUGGGUGGAAGUUUAACCACUAACAGGAUAUUUCAUGGUCUCAAAGCCUCUUCCCACAAGAUGUUUAUAAUAAAAAAUAAAAAGCAGAAACUUCAGAGCAAAGAAGUCUGACAGACACUGCCAAAAUCAGUCAAGCCAAUAUCAUGUGUUUCCUAAUACAAUGCACUAAGAGAGGCACAAUAUCACUUCUGCAGCAUCCUUGCCAAAAACACCUAAUGAUAGUUUUAUUAUGAUGAAACAAUGAACCACUUUCAAACUGAGGACAUUUUAUGAAAUAAUUUGUCAGAACUCUCAAAAAUUAUCAAAUAAAUGAAAUAUAAAAAGAGCUGUUAAGGACUUGGAGGACUGUUAGAUUAUAGAAAAGUAAAAAGUCUUUACAGCUAAAUGCAACAAAUAAAGAUGCAAUAUUUUUAUAAAAAACAUUGAACAACUAGCAAAAAUUGUGUCUAUAUAUAAUAGCAUUAUAGCAGUAUUAAAUUUUGAUUUUAAUUAUUUUCCCCUAAUCAUGAAAUUUCUAUUUUAGAAAAUAUAAAGUGUUUUGGGGUGAAGAGAAUAUGUAUUGAAAAAAUACGUACAUGUUAUGAAGAAAAAAGAAAAUGGUGUAAACUGUUAGCUCUUGGAAAAUGAGUAAACAGUAAGAUAAUUAUUUGUGCUAUUCUAACUAUUUUUCUACAAGUC